AAAAGAAUACUCAUACAUAACAUU
rnacentral:miRNA from 1 species